UACGUAGGGUGCGAGCGUUAAUCGGAAUUACUGGGCGUAAAGCGUGCGCAGGCGGUUCGUUAAGUCAGCUGUGAAAGCCCCGGGCUCAACCUGGGAACUGCGGUUGAAACUGGCGAACUAGAAUCUGGCAGAGGGGGGUGGAAUUCCACGUGUAGCAGUGAAAUGCGUAGAGAUGUGGAGGAACACCGAUGGCGAAGGCGGCCAACUGGCCCGAUGACUGACGCUGAGGCGCGAAAGCGUGGGGAGCAAACAGG
rnacentral:rRNA from 1 species